ACUCCGGUUGAUCCUGCCGGCGGCCACCGCUAUAGGAUUUCGAUUAAGACAUGCGAGUCGAGAGUCGUUAUGGACUCGGCGGACUGCUCAGUAACACGUGGAGAACGUGCCCUUAAGUGGGGGAUAAUCUCGGGAAAUUGAGGAUAAUACCCCAUAGAUCAUGGGAUCUGGAAUGACCCAUGGUUCAAAGUUCCGGCGCUUAAGGAUCGCUCUGCGGCCUAUCAGGUAGUAGUGGGUGUAAAGUACCCCCUAGCCUACGACGGGUAUGGGCCUUGAGAGAGGGAGCCCAGAGUUGGAUUCUGAGACACGAAUCCAGGCCCUACGGGGCGCAGCAGUCGCGAAAACUUCACACUGGGGGCAACCCCGAUGAGGGAAAUCCUAGUGCUAGGACAUUUGUUCUAGCUUUUCUCAAGCGUAGAUAACUUGAGGAAUAAGGGCUGGGUAAGACGGGUGCCAGCCGCCGCGGUAAUACCUGCAGCCCAAGUGGUGGUCGAUUUUAUUGAGUCUAAAACGUUCGUAGCCGGUUUGGUAAAUCUUUGGGUAAAUCGGGAGGCUCAACUUUCCGACUUCCGAAGAGACUGUCAAACUUGGGACCGGGAGAGGCUAGAGGUACUUCUGGGGUAGGGGUAAAAUCCUGUAAUCCUAGAAGGACCACCGGUGGCGAAGGCGUCUCGCUAGAACGGAUCCGACGGUGAGGGACGAAG
rnacentral:rRNA from 1 species